GGGAUAUAAAUAAUCACACCCUGUAGCUGAGCCGGUAGUCGCUGUGUGUGAGUUGCGAAGAAUAGUUGUGAGGAAUCAACAACCGCUGCUCUUUAUUCGCAAGCAUAGGCCGCGACUUCCUGGAGGCAGAUAUGAAGCCACGCACUGCAUCGUGUAGGAAACCGUCUGCUCCUGCUCCUCGUCGUCCUCAUUCUACUACUACUAUUACUGCUACUACUGAUGCAGAUGAAGAUCCCAUUCACUUGUUGGUCAUUCAGCUCCGGCUGAUUGGAGAUAAAUGUGACCUUAUACAAAGAGUGCAGAAUCUGCUGGCGAAACGCUCUUCCGGAACUUGAUACAAGUGUCGUGCAACAUCGGCAGGAACAAAAAAAAAACAAAAAAAGCUGGGGGAAAAAAAAAACCUGGAAUUUGUUCUAAUACGACUGGGAAUGUGGCACAACGGUCUCUUCAACAACAGUUUUCCGGUCAUGAGGAAUCCACUUGGGGAUAAAGGAGA